rnacentral:lncRNA from 1 species
UUUGAACUCAGAAAUUAUCUUAUAGUAAGAAGGUGAAUUCACACCAAUUCAAAACAAAAUUAAAUAUGCAGAUAAAAUGCUAGUGCAAUGCUCUUUUGCAUAGACCUAAAUAAUGCAAUUUCCUGGUUUUGUGAGUGAGGCAGAUGCAGUUCAUUUUGAAGUAGCCUUUGGGUCUUUUCACAUGAUUUGGCUAUUCUUAGAUUUCUGAGUCAUUCUGUCCUCUUUGCUAGUCAUUUUUCAAUUUCGUAUUCUCUAUUCAUGAGGGAGAUACUACAUUAAACAGUCCAAAUUUGGCUAUGUGGCUUAAUACUCUGCGCAAACAGGCUAUAUAUUCAUUCCUAUUCUUAGCAAUACCUUCAGACAAGUUGAAUGUAAAUAAAAUAUUUGGGCAAUACACUCUAACACUGUAGAGUUUCUGGUAAAUGAUGCCAGGAAACCUUGGCAUGCACAUUAUUGCAUAAUUGUUUUGAUUCAAUCUGACUGUCUUUUUAAUGAUCAAAAUCCCAAAGCAAUAGGAAUACUUACGAAAGGCACAGAAAUGUGGAUAAUAUGGGAUAAGCUAAAAGACCCUGCCAAUGUUUUAUCCAACAGAGCAGCAUAUCUUAAAGACUAAUGUAGGAGGUUGUUACUGCCAAUAAUAAAUGAAAUGUCUUUAAAACAAGAUGAGGAUAGCAAUAAAAUCUUCUUCUAGGGUUUCUUUGAGGGAGCUCAGAAGCAUAGACACAAUAAGGAUUAUAAAGGGAUCAGGGAGUGAAAUUUGGGCUUCCGCCCUGCAUGGGUUGGUGAAUUCAGCAGAAGAGGAUGAAGAAUGUCCACCAUCAGUAUCCCUGAUGUUUUAUUGAGCAAGAGUAUUUCUGAUCCACAAUUGAUGAAACGGACUGUUCACUGGACUGAUGCUCCUUGGGUAUAGAAGCCAUGACCUCCUGUCCUUAUGUUCCCACUGACCAACAAAAUGCCUGGCAUAUAGUGGAUAUUCCAUGAACAUUUGUUGAACUAAGGAAAACUUCAGUGGGAAGAUAAAGCUGGC